rnacentral:rRNA from 1 species
GUGGCGGACGGGUGAGUAACGCGUUAAAGAACUUGCCUUACAGACUGGGACAACAUUUGGAAACGAAUGCUAAUACCGGAUAUUAUGACUGAGUCGCAUGAUUUGGUUAUGAAAGCUAUAUGCGCUGUGAGAGAGCUUUGCGUCCCAUUAGUUAGUUGGUGAGGUAACGGCUCACCAAGACGAUGAUGGGUAGCCGGCCUGAGAGGGUGAACGGCCACAAGGGGACUGAGACACGGCCCUUACUCCUACGGGAGGCAGCAGUGGGGAAUAUUGGACAAUGGACCAAAAGUCUGAUCCAGCAAUUCUGUGUGCACGAUGAAGUUUUUCGGAAUGUAAAGUGCUUUCAGUUGGGAAGAAGUCAGUGACGGUACCAACAGAAGAAGCGACGGCUAAAAUACGUGCCAGCAGCCGCGGUAAUACGUAUGUCGCAAGCGUUAUCCGGAUUUAUUGGGCGUAAAGCGCGUCUAGGCGGUUUAGUAAGUCUGAUGUGAAAAUGCGGGGCUCAACCCCGUAUUGCGUUGGAAACUGCUAAACUAGAGUACUGGAGAGGUAGGCGGAACUACAAGUGUAGAGGUGAAAUUCGUAGAUAUUUGUAGGAAUGCCGAUGGGGAAGCCAGCCUACUGGACAGAUACUGACGCUAAAGCGCGAAAGCGUGGGUAGCAAACAGGAUUAGAUACCCUGGUAGUCCACGCCGUAAACGAUGAUUACUAGGUGUUGGGGGUCGAACCUCAGCGCCCAAGCUAACGCGAUAAGUAAUCCGCCUGGGGAGUACGUACGCAAGUAUGAAACUCAAAGGAAUUGACGGGGACCCGCACAAGCGGUGGAGCAUGUGGUUUAAUUCGACGCAACGCGAGGAACCUUACCAGCGUUUGACAUCCCAAGAAGUUAACAGAGAUGUUUUCGUGCCUCUUCGGAGGAACUUGGUGACAGGUGGUGCAUGGCUGUCGUCAGCUCGUGUCGUGAGAUGUUGGGUUAAGUCCCGCAACGAGCGCAACCCCNUUUCGUAUGUUUCCAUCAUUAAGUUGGGGACUCAUGCGAGACUGCCUGCGAUGAGCAGGAGGAAGGUGGGGAUGACGUCAAGUCAUCAUGCCCCUUAUACGCUGGGCUACACACGUGCUACAAUGGGUAGUACAGAGAGCUGCAAACCUGCGAGGGUAAGCUAAUCUCAUAAAACUAUUCUUAGUUCGGAUUGUACUCUGCAACUCGAGUACAUGAAGUUGGAAUCGCUAGUAAUCGCAAAUCAGCUAUGUUGCGGUGAAUACGUUCUCGGGUCUUGUACACACCGCCCGUCACACCACGAGAGUUGGUUGCACCCUGAAGUAANCAGGCCUAACCCGUAAGGAGGGAUGUUCCGAGGGUG